rnacentral:rRNA from 1 species
AGUGAACGCUGGCGGCGUGCUUAACACAUGCAAGUCGAACGAGAACGGGCCUAGCUUGCUAGGCUGUCAGCUAAGUGGCGGACGGGUGAGUAAUGUAUAGUUAAUUUGCCCCUUAGAGAGGGAUAACAGUUGGAAACGACUGCUAAUACCUCAUACUCCUUUCUACUUAAUGUAGAUUGGGAAAUGUUUUUUCGCUAAGGGAUAAGACUAUAUGGUAUCAGGUAGUUGGUGGGGUAAGAGCCUACCAAGCCAAUGACGCCUAGCUGGUCUGAGAGGAUGAUCAGCCACACUGGAACUGAGACACGGUCCAGACUCCUACGGGAGGCAGCAGUGGGGAAUAUUGCACAAUGGAGGAAACUCUGAUGCAGCAACGCCGCGUGGAGGAUGACGCAUUUCGGUGUGUAAACUCCUUUUAUAUAGGAAGAUAAUGACGGUACUAUAUGAAUAAGCACCGGCUAACUCCG